ACACCUCAACUCUCACGGUUUGCCGUGAUGAGCUUGGACUUUGGAGGUCUUGCCGGCCUGUGGUUGGCUCCUCUCAAAUGAAUCAGCUUGCCAGUGUUUGGUGGCAUCCCAGGUGUGAUAACUAUCUACGCUUGUGGCUUUCCACCAGGUAACCUUCAGCGAUGGAGGUUCGCUGGGGCUCACAAAUGUCUCUCCUAAGUGAGGACGGCUUCUUGAAU
rnacentral:misc_RNA from 1 species